rnacentral:rRNA from 1 species
GACGAACGCUGGCGGCGUGCUUAACACAUGCAAGUCGAACGGAAAGGCCCUGCUUUUGUGGGGUGCUCGAGGGGCGAACGGGUGAGUAACACGUGAGUAACCUGCCCUUGACUUUGGGAUAACUUCAGGAAACUGGGGCUAAUACCGGAUAGGAGCUCCUGCUGCAUGGUGGGGGUUGGAAAGUUUCGGCGGUUGGGGAUGGACUCGCGGCUUAUCAGCUUGUUGGUGGGGUAGUGGCUUACCAAGGCUUUGACGGGUAGCCGGGCUGAGAGGGUGACCGGCCACAUUGGGACUGAGAUACGGCCCAGACCCCUACGGGAGGCAGCAGUGGGGAAUAUUACACAAUGGGCGGAAGCCUGAUGCAGCAACGCCGCGUGCGGGAUGACGGCCUUCGGGUUGUAAACCGCUUUCGCCUGUGACGAAGCGUGAGUGACGGUAAUGGGUAAAGAAGCACCGGCUAACUACGUG